GACGAACGCUGGCGGCGUGCCUAAUACAUGCAAGUUGAGCGCUGAAGGUUGGUACUUGUACCAACUGGAUGAGCAGCGAACGGGUGAGUAACGCGUGGGGAAUCUGCCUUUGAGCGGGGGACAACAUUUGGAAACGAAUGCUAAUACCGCAUAAAAACUUUAAACACAAGUUUUAAGUUUGAAAGAUGCAAUUGCAUCACUCAAAGAUGAUCCCGCGUUGUAUUAGCUAGUUGGUGAGGUAAAGGCUCACCAAGGCGAUGAUACAUAGCCGACCUGAGAGGGUGGUUGGCCACAUUGGGACUGAGACACGGCCCAAACGCCUACGGGAGGCAGCAGUAGGGAAACUUCGGCAAUGGACGAAAGUCUGACCGAGUAACGCCGCGGGAGUGAAGAAGGUUGUCGGAUCGGAAAACUCGGUUGGUAGAGAAGAACGUUGGUGAGAGUGGAAAGCUCAUCAAGUGACGGUAACUACCCAGAAAGGGACGGCUAACUACGUG
rnacentral:rRNA from 1 species